rnacentral:misc_RNA from 1 species
CAAAUGCGAUACGCAAUGCGAAUUGCAGAAUUCCGCGAGUCAUCAGAUCUUUGAACGCAAAUGGCGCUGGGUUAACCAAUACCCCAGCAUGUUUGUUUCAGUGUGUUAGGAAUUCAUAAAUCUUAGUGCGGUUGAGAUUAUUUUUUAAAUAUUACUCUCCCGUUAAACAAGAAAAGUGCUGAAUCGUUUCAGUGCCGACCGAAGUAGUCACUUCUUUAGCAAGUGAUCUCGGUUGUUUGCAAUACUGAAGAUUCACUUAAAGUGCUUUCAAAAAAAAAAAAUUUAAUUCUCCACUCAACACCUGAAAUCAAGCAAGAUCACCCGCUGAACUUAA